GUGAGGAAUAUUGCGCAAUGGAGGCAACUCUGACGCAGCCAUGCCGCGUGCAGGAAGAAGGCGCUACGCGUUGUAAACUGCUUUUAACCGGGAAGAAACCCCAGGACGUGUCCUGGGUUGACGGUACCGGAGGAAUAAGCACCGGCUAACUUCGUGCCAGCAGCCGCGGUAAUACGAAGGGUGCAAGCGUUAUCCGGAUUCCUUGGGUUUAAAGGGUGCGUAGGCGGAGCGUUAAGUCAGUGGUGAAAUCCUGCAGCUUAACUGUAGACUUGCCAUUGAUACUGGCGCUCUUGAGUGCGCUUGAAGUGGGCGGAAUGUGCCGUGUAGCGGUGAAAUGCUUAGAUAUGGCACAGAACACCAAUUGCGAAGGCAGCUCACUAAGGCGAUACUGACGCUGAGGCACGAAAGCGUGGGGAUCGAACAGAAUUAGAUACCCGGGUAGUCC
rnacentral:rRNA from 1 species